rnacentral:sRNA from 1 species
UGUGGUUGGAAGUCCAGAGAUAGUUGUGCUUUUACACGGUUUUCCAACAUCCAGCUACGAUUGGUACAAGAUUUGGGAAGGUCUGACCUUGAGGUUUCAUCGGGUGAUUGCCCUUGAUUUCUUAGGCUUUGGCUUCAGUGACAAACCGGCCAGCAUCGUGGAAGCGCUUUUGCGGCAUCUGGGGCUCCAGAACCGCAGGAUCAACCUUCUUUCUCAUGACUAUGGAGAUAUUGUUGCUCAGGAGCUUCUCUACAGGUACAAGCAGAAUCGAUCUGGUCGGCUUACCAUAAAGAGUCUCUGUCUGUCAAAUGGAGGUAUCUUUCCUGAGACUCACCGUCCACUCCUUCUCCAAAAGCUACUCAAAGAUGGAGGUGUGCUGUCACCUAUCCUCACACGACUGAUGAACUUCUUUGUAUUCUCCCGAGGUCUCACCCCAGUCUUUGGGCCGUAUACUCGGCCCUCUGAGAGUGAGCUGUGGGACAUGUGGGCAGGGAUCCGCAACAAUGACGGGAACUUAGUCAUUGACAGUCUCUUACAGUACAUCAAUCAGAGGAAGAAGUUCAGAAGGCGCUGGGUGGGAGCUCUUGCCUCUGUAACUAUCCCCAGUGAGUAUUUUUAUAU